AGUGAACGCUGGCGGUAGGCCUAACACAUGCAAGUCGAACGGCAGCACAGUAAGAGCUUGCUCUUACGGGUGGCGAGUGGCGGACGGGUGAGGAAUACAUCGGAAUCUACUUUUUCGUGGGGGAUAACGUAGGGAGACUUACGCUAAUACCGCAUACGACCUACGGGUGAAAGCAGGGGAUCUUCGGACCUUGCGCGAUUGAAUGAGCCGAUGUCGGAUUAGCUAGUUGGCGGGGUAAAGGCCCACCAAGGCGACGAUCCGUAGCUGGUCUGAGAGGAUGAUCAGCCACACUGGAACUGAGACACGGUCCAGACCCCUACGGGAGGCAGCAGUGGGGAAUAUUGGACAAUGGGCGCAAGCCUGAUCCAGCCAUACCGCGUGGGUGAAGAAGGCCUUCGGGUUGUAAAGCCCUUUUGUUGGGAAAGAAAAGCAGCAGGUUAAUACCCCGCUGUUCUGACGGUACCCAAAGAAUAAGCACCGGCUAACUUCGUG
rnacentral:rRNA from 1 species